GCCCUCUGGUUCCCUUUCCCAUCAGAUCUGAAUAUUGGUCUUGGUGGUCGUAAAAGGAGGGAUAGCAAUACUGAAGCUGGCUUCAUAGGCUCUGUAGUCUGCCAUUUAAUAUGUGGGCUAGUUUCAAACAAAU
rnacentral:snoRNA from 12 species